CAGCAGCCACGGGAAUACAGAGGGUGCAAGCGUUAAUCGGAAUUACUGGGCGUAAAGCGCGCGUAGGUGGUUUGUUAAGUUGGAUGUGAAAUCCCCGGGCUCAACCUGGGAACUGCAUCCAAAACUGGCGAGCUAGAGUAUGGUAGAGGGUGGUGGAAUUUCCUGUGUAGCGGUGAAAUGCGUAGAUAUAGGAAGGAACAUCAGUGGCGAAGGCGACCACCUGGACUGAUACUGACACUGAGGUGCGAAAGCGUGGGGAGCAAACAGGAUUAGAUACCCCAGUAGUCCCUGUCUCUUAUAC
rnacentral:rRNA from 1 species